rnacentral:rRNA from 1 species
AACGAACGCUGGCGGCAUGCCUAACACAUGCAAGUCGAACGAAGCCUUCGGGCUUAGUGGCGCACGGGUUCGUAACGCGUGGGAAUCUGCCCCUUGCUUCGGAAUAACAGUUAGAAAUGACUGCUAAUACCGGAUGAAGUCUUCGGACCAAAGAUUUAUCGGCAAGGGAUGAGCCCGCGUAGGAUUAGGUAGUUGGUGGGGUAAAGGCCUACCAAGCCGACGAUCCUUAGCUGGUCUGAGAGGAUGAUCAGCCACACUGGGACUGAGACACGGCCCAGACUCCUACGGGAGGCAGCAGUGGGGAAUAUUGGACAGUGGACGCAAGUCUGAUCCAGCAAUGCCGCGUGAAUGAUGAAGGCCUUAGAGUUGUAAAGCUCUUUUACCAGGGAUGAUAAUGACGGUACCUGGAGAAUAAGCUCCGGCUAACUCCGUG